rnacentral:snRNA from 1 species
CUGGAGUGGGAUCUCCCUAUCGAACUCACCUCUUGCCUUUUACCAGAUGUGACCGUGGGAUGACCCAAAAAACUCCAUUCCCUCAAUCUUUGGCAAACCCUCUUCUGGA